UGCUUUUUAGUGGGAAGAGGUUAGGUGAGAUGAGCAAUUCAGCUAUAUGGUCUCAGCUCUGCAAGGGUGCACACUAGAAACAGAGCCACACCCAUCCAAUUUUCCUUCGGUGGGUUGAGCAAGAAGGUCUCAGCUUCCUGAGCCAGGGCUCACUCACACCACAAGGAACAGAGCCAGACCCACUUCUUUUCAACUUUUUCCAGAAAUGAUUGUACCAGUAGCAAUAGCUUUGACAGUGGGUCUUCUAGGGUGGGCUUAUCAAGCACUAAAGCCUCCUCCUCCGAAAAUAUGCGGAUCGCCUGGUGGUCCUCCUGUUACUUCACCAAGAG